GAAAGCUCUGCUGGACAACAAAAUGAGGAUGCAAUGGAGGCAGCAAAGUACAGUAUGCCUUCUUUGCUGCCUUCACUGCCACUAGAUAGGCUCGACCUUUGUCAACAGCUGCUGUUUUUGAGGUGCCUCGGUAGCAGCCUGCAAUUAAAAAAUCACUCCAGCUGGAACAGAUGAGAAACAUCGUGGAUUACGAUUCCCUCUGCCUUGUUUGGGUUUAGAACAUGCCUUUCCCCCUUGCUUUCCUUUAAUCGCCCUUUGGAGAGAACGUUUCUGCAGCCAUCUCUCCGACACGGUGUCCAUCGGAGAGGCGGUUAGUGUGCCGUCCCGAAGCCAAUGGAAGAAGGAGCCACACGCUCAGGCUGCAGAUGUUCAGGGUGGUAACUUGGGGGAAAGCAAUGGCAAUUAAUGAGCAUAUGGUCAAUAAUAAAUCCAUACAGUAG